rnacentral:rRNA from 1 species
ACGAACGCUGGCGGCGUGCUUAACACAUGCAAGUCGAACGGAAAGGCCCUGCUUUUGUGGGGUGCUCGAGUGGCGAACGGGGGAGUAACACGUGAGUAACCUGCCCUUUACUUUGGGAUAACUUCAGGAAACUGGGGCUAAUACCGGAUAGGAGCUCCUGCUGCAUGGUGGGGGUUGGAAAGUUUCGGCGGUUGGGGAUGGACUCGCGGCUUAUCAGCUUGUUGGUGGGGUAGUGGCUUACCAAGGCUUUGACGGGUAGCCGGCCUGAGAGGGUGACCGGCCACAUUGGGACUGAGAUACGGCCCAGACUCCUACGGGAGGCAGCAGUGGGGAAUAUUGCACAAUGGGCGGAAGCCUGAUGCAGCAACGCCGCGUGCGGGAUGACGGCCUUUGGGUUGUAAACCGCUUUCGCCUGUGACGAAGCGUGAGUGACGGUAAUGGGUAAAGAAGCACCGGCUAACUACGUG